rnacentral:rRNA from 1 species
GGGUUAAGUCCCGCAACGAGCGCAACCCUCAUUGUUAGUUACUACCAUUCAGUUGAGGACUCUAAUGAGACUGCCAACGAUAAGUUGGAGGAAGGUGGGGAUGACGUCAAAUCAUCAUGCCCUUUAUGACCUGGGCUACAAACGUACUACAAUGGCCAAUACAAAGAGAUGCGAAGCGGUGACGUGGAGCGAACCUCAGAAAGUUGGUCUCAGUUCAGAUUGAAGUCUGCAACUCGACUUCAUGAAGGCGGAAUCGCUAGUAAUCGCGGGUCAGCAGACCGCGGUGAAUACGUUCCCGGGUUU